rnacentral:rRNA from 1 species
AUUGAACGCUGGCGGCAUGCCUUACACAUGCAAGUCGAACGGCAGCACGGGUGCUUGCACCUGGUGGCGAGUGGCGAACGGGUGAGUAAUACAUCGGAACAUGUCCUGUAGUGGGGGAUAGCCCGGCGAAAGCCGGAUUAAUACCGCAUACGAUCUACGGAUGAAAGCGGGGGACCUUCGGGCCUCGCGCUAUAGGGUUGGCCGAUGGCUGAUUAGCUAGUUGGUGGGGUAAAGGCCUACCAAGGCGACGAUCAGUAGCUGGUCUGAGAGGACGACCAGCCACACUGGGACUGAGACACGGCCCAGACUCCUACGGGAGGCAGCAGUAGGGAAUUUUGGACAAUGGGCGAAAGCCUGAUCCAGCAAUGCCGCGUGUGUGAAGAAGGCCUUCGGGUUGUAAAGCACUUUUGUCCGGAAAGAAAUCCUUGGCCCUAAUACGGUCGGGGGAUGACGGUACCGGAAGAAUAAGCACCGGCUAACUACGUG